UACAGAGGUCUCAAGCGUUUGUUCGGAUUCAUUGGGCGUAAAGGGUGCGUAGGCGGCGCGGUAAGUCGGGUGUGAAAUCUCGGAGCUUAACUCCGAAAUUGCAUUCGAUACUGCCGUGCCCGAGGACUGGAGAGGAGACUGGAAUUCAUGGUGUAGCAGUGAAAUGCGUAGAGAUCAUGAGGAAGACCAGUGGCGAAGGCGGGUCUCUGGACAGUUCCUGACACUGAGGCACGAAGGCCAGGGGAGCAAAACGGG
rnacentral:rRNA from 1 species